rnacentral:rRNA from 1 species
GAUGAACGCUAGCGGCAGGCCUAAUACAUGCAAGUCGAGGGGUAGUGGUUGCUUGCAGCCAUGAGACCGGCGCACGGGUGCGUAACGCGUAUGCAACCUACCUUCAUCUGGGGGAUAGCCCGGAGAAAUCCGGAUUAAUACCGCAUAAAAUCACAGUACGGCAUCGUACAAUGAUCAAACAUUUAUGGGAUGGAGAUGGGCAUGCGUGUCAUUAGUUAGUUGGCGGGGUAACGGCCCACCAAGACCGCGAUGACUAGGGGAUCUGAGAGGAUGACCCCCCACACUGGUACUGAGACACGGACCAGACUCCUACGGGAGGCAGCAGUAAGGAAUAUUGGUCAAUGGGCGCAAGCCUGAACCAGCCAUGCCGCGUGCAGGAAGACGGCCCUCUGGGUUGUAAACUGCUUUUAUUCGGGAAUAAACCUGCUUACGUGUAAGUAGCUGAAUGUACCGAAGGAAUAAGGAUCGGCUAACUCCGUGCCAGCAGCCGCAGUAAGAC